GAUGUGACCAGAUGCUUUAAGUUCUUAUCCCUCCAACUUCCCUACUAUGAUAGACCAUAUCCUGGAAUUGUGAGCUAAAUGGAAGGAGUAAAGAUGACUCAACUGUGACAUCUGUCUGAGGAACAGCUUCCCAGCUAGUGAUGCUGCUUCAGAUAGAACGGCAGAACUACAGAGAGAUAGAGACCCGGAGAUGAAGCGUACUCCCACGAGGAAGUACCCAAUUAUCAAGACGAGAGGGCCUCCUUGUCCUGCCUUGUCAACAGCCAGCCUCUGUGCUAUUGAAGUUCCGGGUCUGUGUCAUCUUCGCCAGUUGCACUGAGUGGUGAGGGAGCCAAGGGACCACGCUGGGUGCAGUUUGCUUCCUCACCCAGUGGGGGUCGUGACUUGCUGGGACCUGUACAAACAUCUGCAUCUACUGAAGCCUGGGAGACCCAAGGGCUUCACUUCACAGCGGAGAAAAUCUAAAAUUGGAGGUGCUUUGGAGAUGAGUGUACAAAUGGGAGUCUUCCUAAAUU